AUACGUAGGUGGCAAGCGUUGUCCGGAUUUAUUGGGCGUAAAGCGUAGCGCUAGGCGGUUUUUUAAGUCUGAUGUGAAAGACCUUCGGCUCAACCGAAGAAGUGCAUCGGAAACUGGGAAACUUGAGUGCAGAAGAGGACAGUGGAACUCCAUGUGUAGCGGUGGAAUGCGUAGAUAUAUAGAAGAACACCAGUGGCGAAGGCGGCUGUCUAGUCUGUAACUGACGCUGAGGCUCGAAAGCAUGGGUAGC
rnacentral:rRNA from 1 species